GACUCUUAUACCAAGCUUUCCUUCCUCAUUCUCUCCCCAGUUCCACACACAAUUGGCUCAUAGACUUGCAUUCCAGUUCUCAAUUACCUCAAUACACCGAUGAAAUAAGGGACAGGGAAAAAUGGAGGAGUCUUUGGACUUCACAGUGGGAGCACAAGACCCAGCACAAAUAUGAAAGAAGGAACUGGAUUCUCUACCUUCUGCAUUAUUGGUAAAAUGAUUUACCAACUUUCAACUUCAGAGCUGAAUUCUUCCCAUCAGUUACAUCUGAGGACAGAACCUCUAUUACUAUUAUUAUUAUUACUGGUGAUAAUGUGAAAAUCCGAAGGGAUCCAGAAGCUGAACCGUGUCCUAAGUUGAAUUAUCCAGGUUUUACAUUCAAAUAAAAAUAUGUCUUUCUUGUGAAAUU